rnacentral:rRNA from 1 species
UACGAAGGGGGGCUAGCGUUGCUCGGAAUCACUGGGCGUAAAGCGCACGUAGGCGGAUUGCUAAGUCAGGGGUGAAAUCCUGGAGCUCAACUCCAGAACUGCCUUUGAUACUGGCGACCUUGAGUCCGGGAGAGGUGAGUGGAACUGCGAGUGUAGAGGUGAAAUUCGUAGAUAUUCGCAAGAACACCAGUGGCGAAGGCGGCUCACUGGCCCGGUACUGACGCUGAGGUGCGAAAAGCGUGGGGAGCAAACAGG